UCCCGGCGCACUCGGCCCGCCGUCGGACCCAUCCGCUUGGCUCCCGCGGCGAGAGAUCUGAUCGACAGAGAGGCCAAGGGGGAGUGUUGGCGCAGAGGUCAGGCGUCACAGGCAAACAAGUCGCUCGCUAGAGGUGGUCUAUGGUGUCGACACUCUCCGAUGGACAGAGCCGACGUGUGCGCUGGACAGAGUCGUCAUACACACAUCUAAUCCCACUGAUGAACCUGGCUGUGGGUUAGCUUCUGUCGGGAAGGUGACAAAGGAGAGAGAAAAGAAGCUUGUGGGGGCGGCCUGAUGGACAGGAAAUGAGAGGGUGACGCUGGCCUGAAGAUGAAGAAGGGACGAGAGCAUGGCCACGGUGCAAAUUCCUCUAUAUCUUUCCAUGGUUGUUUUAGAGCAUGGCCAUGGUGCAAAAUCAGCUGUCUCCCUGGUCGAAGUAGAUGCUUGGGGUGAGGCCAACUUAUGAAUUGACCGAGACGUCUUUACCUUGCAUUGCAAUGUCUUAAUCUUGCAUCUUUUGUCAAGCUUGCAUUAGAGCAAAUUCAUACUAUGAUGGGGGGAUUAUGAAUCAGUUGACACCCACGAAUUAAUGUGAUACAUCUAUGGGCCUGGCGCCAGAAUUUAGCACUGGAAUUUAUCGUUCCUUGAUGGCAUCUGCAACUCACCACAACUGUGUUAAGCAGUACCUGAGGUGCUCGGAUUUUACUUGCCUGCUAUAAGAAGGAAGGGUUCUCGGCCGGAAUCUCCAUCGGGUUGCUUCUUUGGACCAUAAUCUCCAUCAAAUCCCGACGAAAAUUCCGUGAAACGUACAAUGUCGCCGUCGAUUUCGCCGGAGGAAGAAGCGCCGAGUUCGCCGGAGGAACAAAACAUCUGUCGAGCCGUCCAAUGUCGCCCUCGACGGCUACAACAGAUGUAUGUAUCCCCUUGAAAGCAGCAAGCAGCAGUCUUCUGUUAUGUGUGUUCUGUGUGUUCUCUGUAUAGAUGUGUAGUAGUAAUCAAGCAGCAAAUUGAACAAAAUCGCAGCAGCAGGCUGCUGCUCUCCUCCCUGAUCUCCCUCUAUAUGAAGUAGCAUUAUAGCACAACAUCAUAAUUAGCAACGGCAGAGCAACCUCUGAAAAAUAGUUGGGAUAAUUAAAAAGAUUCUAAUGCGUUUAUCUUGGCAUAUCAGAACACCUCCCUGAUCUCCCUCUAUAUGAAGUAGCAGUAUAGCACAACAUCAUAAUUAGCAACGGCAGAGCAACCUCUGAAAAAUAGUUGGGAUAAUUAAAAAGAUUCUAAUGCGUUUAUUUUGGCAUAUCAGAACAUUUAGUAUGUAUAUCUGACUUCAGCACCAGGCACCAUGGUUACGCAUCUUGGUUUGAUACUGAUCAAGUAGUAUCAUGUUGAUCCCCUGUUUUAGUUAUUGUUUCUGUCCCCUGUCUCUCUGUCUGCUAUUCUGCUCUUUCUUAGCAGCAUGUUGAUUCUAAGAUUCCAAUAGUAUUUAGAAAGUAGCAAAUUUAUUUUUAUGCGAGAAUUUUAUUCUUAAGUUUCUGGCAGUAUUCAUAGUUAGUUUUCUCUGAUUUUGUGUGCUUUACAGGCAGUAAGCAUCCUUGGGUGUUCUUUACGUGCUUUGUCUCUAGGGGCCUCCUGAUGGACUCCUAUAAUACCACCAGGCC
rnacentral:lncRNA from 1 species